GCGGAUAUCUCAUCCCGGCACACCGCUAGCGCACGAUUUUGUUCCAGGACGAGACGUUCCCAAUCCGAGGCGCCCGCUGCCUCCAUAGUACGGCGAAGUAAUCUGUUACGAAGCGCUGACGGAGACAAGCGCGGGCGAGCGAAGAGAUGGCGUGUGACCGAACACAGGACGAGAAUCGACUCGGGACCGAGCAGGUGCAAAGCAGACAGUUGGUCCGCUUCCUCGUACCCUCAGAGCUCAGCGGGGCAGCAGCGAGGGCCAGAGCUUCAGAGCAGCAGGAGGGAGAGAUGGGUGUGUAUAUGCAUUUGUGUGUGUCUGUUUGAGGAGUUUAGGAAUUACAGGUGGCUACAGUCAACCGUGUGGGACAUUCAGGGACAGGUCAGGGUCAGUGAUCUCUUAAAGAACAGCUCUUAAAGAAAUGCAUUCACCUUUGACACGAAUAUGCUAAUGCUAAUUGUGCUAAUCUGAAAAUGGCUGAAUGUGUGUUCACACCUUUGUGCUUACUCC
ensembl:lncRNA